AUGUGGAGCAGAUCCCUUAAUUUCGUGAUCAUCUUCAUAGGAUGUGGGUCCUUAUACAACAAGGAGGGCAGGCCUGACAACUCCAGGCCCCUACAUCCUCACAUCACAGGCAUGUGCAGAACGCUCUACACUACAUACAGGAGCAGAGACCUCCACUCACUGACUAUAACCAUCUCAUGUGUGUGGAGCCCCAUAUGUGGAUCUGAGUACACUCCAUCAUUUCUGAGAUCAGUCGUAUAUGCAGAGCCUUCUACAGCAUGGAUAUUGGUGGAGGUCCUGACCGUCAUCACAUGGAUGGGGACCCCUUCCAACAUGCAGGCCUCCUACCCCACUGGGUGCAGUUAAGCAUCCCAUGGCAUUCUGUUCCCCCAGCUCCAAUUCUUAACAAGGAUAAUGGCCAGGAAGGAGGCUCAAGCCUGUUUAUUGAAGAUAAACUCAUUCACAUUGAGCUGCCGCCAACUUUUCAUCAGAGAAGAACAAAGCCAGUGACAGGUGGUGAUAAGGGUGUGGGUCCACUGUACUUGUAGACAGCAGCUUAGCACAAUGUGUGCCCCGUUCAAGCAUAGCAAGUGCGAGUGGGUGACCCAAAAAGGUCCAUCCCUGCAGAAGGAGCACAACCCACACGGCCCAUAGUGCACCACACACCAGUUUGUACACACAGUCCUCAGGAUGGCAGCAGAUGUUCACAAGGGUCACACGGAAAAGCAGGCAGUGGAGAGGAACGGUGUGACCUUGACCUCUCAGACACACAUUCUUGCAAAUGCAUAGGAAUUCUGAAGUUCAACUGACAGUGAGACUUAUUUCCUGGGCUGUGACUGAGAAGCAGACUUUUAUGUUCCUAACUUGGGCCCUUAUGAGCUACCUGAAUGUCUUAUGCAAGGGCCUAGGUAAAACACCAAGCAAUUUGAACUUCUGAGCAGAAAGCUCCAGUAGCACAUUAAGGGGUUCUGACUGGGCUCGGGAUUAAGCUCAGUGGCACCUCCCCUGCCUCCCAAGCAGACGGUCCUGAGUCCAAUCCCUAGACCGACCACCCAGAGAAAAAAGAGGUUCUGUUUAAAUGUGAGGAUGGAAAACUGAACAACAGGUCAGGUGUGGAAUCUUUAAUUUACAGGACCACGGGAGAAAGUUGGAGUUGGAUGUCAUGGUG
rnacentral:lncRNA from 1 species